rnacentral:lncRNA from 1 species
GACAUUGGAUUAAAGGCACCCCAUAUCUCACAGCUGUAUAAUAGGAUGGGUUUGAUGGUAUGAUCAAAAACAUGCAUGCUUGUUUUGACUGAAGGAUGCAAGGAUAAAAAAUCUUUAGAUAACUUAAAAUAGGCUUUUAGUGCCUUUUUAUACAAUUCAUCCUGGGCUACUGUAAAGGAGCCAGAUGCACAAAAAUGUAUACCCAAAUAUUUAUAUGAAUUAACACACUCUAGUUUUAUACCAUUUAGCAUAAAAUCAUAUUUGUUAAUCAAUCUACCUGCCUUGUUGAAUAUAAGAACCUUUGUUUUGUUUGUAUUCACACUUAAGCACCAAUCAUUGCAGUAAUUUUGCAAAAUGUCCAAUUUUUUU